GCAUCAAAUUUGGUAUCAGAGCUUUGGCUCCAAAUCAGGUUCUAUCUAUCCUUUUGUGUUUUCUUUUUUGUUCUUUGUUUAUCGUACUAUUUCAUUUCAUAACUUAUUCAUCAAUUUCCUUGUUUUUUUAUAUUUUGCAUUUUCUUCAAUAAUACUUAGUCUGAAAAAAAUUUUUCCUUCCUUUACUUAGUGUCUUGUUUAAAAAAAAAAUUGAAUUGCUGCUACUUUUAAAAAAAAUGCAGAUAUUUUUUCUUGCAGAAUUUCAGAUCUGAAACGAGUAAAAAAAAAGAACUGCAGAAUUUCAAGUCUGCUACUAAUCAAUAAUAAUAAUAAUAAUAAAUUAAAUUACGCUUAUAAUUAAAAACAAAAAAAAGAAAAUAUUUUUUCUUUCUUUUCUGCUCUGUUUCGAUUUCAAUUUUACAUAUUUUAUUAGGUUUUGCUGCUGUUCGAACCGAUAUUUGGAGGAAGAAGAAGAAAAGAUUGAGGAGAGGAGACCGU
rnacentral:misc_RNA from 1 species